UGAGAGCACCCGUGGGGUCGGCAGGA
rnacentral:misc_RNA from 1 species